CACGUUUGGAAAAAAUGUUAGCAAUUUAAACAUUUACACUGAAGCUUCCUUUAAGUUUAUUGGUUCAAUAUGUAGGCAACUAUAAACAUUACGCGAUUGCGACUUUGAGAAUGUCGAUUAAUAUCUUAAGUUUUCAAUGCUGAAUCAUUUAUAUUUUUAUGAAUUGUUUUCCCAUUAGGAAAAUCAAAAUGGCUGAGAUCAGUCGUUUCUAUACAUUUUUGUAGGUCCGCUUCGUAAAACUGUUCUUUGUGCCAUAUUAGAAUCGAAAUAAUUUAUAGCGGUCAUCAAGGGUCCGGAAAUUUCAACACGCACUGCCGGUCAUUUUGAGGACUUACAAUAGUUCGUUUUUACUAGUAUAUACGUCAUUGUAAAUGAACAGAUGUUCAUCAUAGAACCUCAAUGAUGGACAAGCAUCAUGCUGUACUCAAAAUUUCGCAUGAAUUUCAUAAUGACGAUCAAGUACGUUACGUUCAAAUCAAUGGCUUAUUAUCGCUGGAAAUUUGAUGUUCGUAUUGUCAAAACCCAUGCUACUUUCGAUUUUGUUUAUCGCCGGAAACCGCACAAGGAUUAUAAAUUUGAAAGAAUCCAGAUUAACCAUGUUAACGAUACGGGUUUCUGUUGGACAAAAUCUACGUCGUUAAACCAUCGCAUUUUCAUUCCAUUGGUCGGGAAAUAUAUAUAUUUUCAGUUAAAGUUGAAUUAAUUAUGAAAUUGGAUUUACAUUUUAUUUUUUUCUUCAAGAUUCGCAACAUAAAUAUGUGCUUGUAGCCGUCAAACGUUUACGCAUGCGUAUUGUGUAAUACAUCCUAAAAGCACAUGUUCCAAAAAAGAAAAAUAUUUACACGUCAAAUUAAAAAAAUUAUAUUUAUAGUUUUUAUUUACUAAAAGUUUUAAGAAAGACGUAAACAGAACAGAAAUCAAUAAAUGGUUGUUAGAUUAGUUGAAGCCUGUCAUUUUGUCAAAUGUAAACACAGGUAAUUUUACAGGUAAGCCGGGGUGAGCGAUGUCAGCUGAUCAUUUACCUGAUCCCCUGGAUUAAUUAAAAGAUAUUGAGAGGGCCCAGUGAAUUAUAAUACAAUACACAGUGACACUUUUAUUGCCGGAAACGUGCGACAAUCAUAAAUUUUAAAAUAAGUAGCUGUUUUUAACGGAAUGAGAGUUGAAAAUGUCCGACCUUUUGUGAAUAUUUACUGUUAAAUCUCGUUUAUUUUGUCCUAAAUCUGGAAUUUCAUUUCUAUAAUUAUGACACACAAAUAUUUUUUUGACCUAUUGAGGUCAGUGACCGUCGGACAUUUUGUAAAAAUACCUGUCAAAGACCGGC
rnacentral:lncRNA from 1 species